rnacentral:rRNA from 1 species
GAUGAACGCUGGCGGCGUGCCUAAUACAUGCAAGUCGAGCGAACAGACGAGGAGCUUGCUCCUCUGACGUUAGCGGCGGACGGGUGAGUAACACGUGGAUAACCUACCUAUAAGACUGGGAUAACUUCGGGAAACCGGAGCUAAUACCGGAUAAUACAUUGAACCGCAUGGUUCAAUAGUGAAAGACGGUUUUGCUGUCACUUAUAGAUGGAUCCGCGCCGCAUUAGCUAGUUGGUAAGGUAACGGCUUACCAAGGCGACGAUGCGUAGCCGACCUGGGAGGGUGAUCGGCCACACUGGAACUGAGACACGGUCCAGACUCCUACGGGAGGCAGCAGUAGGGAAUCUUCCGCAAUGGGCGAAAGCCUGACGGAGCAACGCCGCGUGAGUGAUGAAGGUCUUCGGAUCGUAAAACUCUGUUAUUAGGGAAGAACAAAUGUGUAAGUAACUAUGCACGUCUUGACGGUACCUAAUCAGAAAGCCACGGCUAACUACGUG